CCAAGAUAUUUGGCAUCAUCAGCCAAGAUUUCCGGUAUGGGGAAACUGAAUCCCAUUCCUAAGGCUUCGAAGACAAAUAUUCAUCAACAAGAGCUGCCUCUCAUCAGGUAUUUCACCAGUCUUCUCCAAAGGAGUGGUAUCACAGUCAUUAUCUUCAGUAGGUAUCAGCAACUCUGGGAUUUUUUAAUCUGGUAAACCGGGGCAGUGUUAUAGCACCGUGAUAUUAGUAGAGUCUUCCUCCAUUACAUCUCGCCUGUAAGUUAUAUUUCAAGAGAGGAGGCCAUUUGUACCCUGCCAUCUCCUGAGUUGGCCAAACAUCCACAAGCCUAUUGCUAAUCUGCUUUCUCUAAUGAAAGCAUCAAUUCCUAGCAGUGAUAGUUGUCAUGAAAUCAAUAAGACACGUAACCCAUGUAACCCAUUCUUCUGGUGCCUCACACAAACACUUAGCAGCUUGUUAACAAGAUUUGCUAACGCUGAGGUCCCACAGCCCAGAAGAUUCCCACCAAUGCUGCAAAACAGAACAAUAUUUGGCUUACGGAAGAACUUUCACAGUUUGAUUCUUUUUCCUAAAUAUUUUAGCCCUGUUUUUCCUUUAUUUUUUCAGUCUUUGAAACCUGUGGAGCAGCUUUGCUUUGGUGGAGGCAGUUCAGGCUCGAAUGAAGCACUGACAGCAAACAUCAGGCAUCAUUUUCUGCAGCUCCAAGAAAGCUUGUGUUUGGAGUGAACACACCUCAGUAAAUCCCUCCCAAACACCGGAUUUGUUGGCCCAGAAGGGCUCGCACCAUGUCAGCCUGAAAAUGAGACUGCCCAGACUAGAGAAAAGGAGACGUUCACAGCACUGAGAAACCUGGUCCCUACAUGUAGGGAGAGCAGCGAUGGACAUCGAAUCCCCCUGGAAUGCAGUGAGGGGCUGGGCAAGUAUACACAGGGUUCAUGCAACGUGGUGGACACUCACUGCAGACCACAAAAGAGCUACACCAGCAAAAGACGUGACCGUGCUAGGUGGAAUACUGCUUUUUCCGCUUCCAGAGGAGACCACUCGUGCAAUUACAAAGCACACUCCACUUUUGCAGGCCAGCGCGGGUGACAGGCGUCUCCAGGUACCACUAUGUCCACCUCAAGGGAAGACAGCUCCUACGACACUGAUCCACGACUAAUCCCAACCAGCUUGUGAUAGCAGUGUGUGUCUCUCUGUGUCUCCUUUCACAGCUGUGUCACAAUCAUACCCUGCUCUUCUUUCUCUUAAAGCAAAUGACUCUGUGGACUUUAUGCCAGCACUUCAGAUUCUCUAGUGUCUCUACCUCAGCCUUCUUUCAGAGACCAGUGGGUUUAGAGUAGCUGACACUAGCCAGGGGCUGGCUCAGACUGUUUGCUGACGGCAAUGCCAUACGUUUUAGUGUAGCUCCAGCAAGGUUCAUCUUACUGGAACCAGAUGGGAAAACAAGGGGCUCUUGUCCCAGGGGAGAUGUCUGGGUGUGAGAAAACACCAGUUUCCCUGAGGCACGCUGCCUUUCUGCACCUUGGCAUCCGAACCAGCAAAGACCUCAACACAACAUCAGCCCCCCCGCUCCCUUUUGCAGAGGCCCUGGGGUUCAGGGAUACCAACCACACGGGCCAGACCUUCACCCUUUCUUUCACAGCAUCUGCUCUGCUUGGAUGGACGGUGUUCAAUAGCAGGGGAGCACCAAGUGACUACAUUUGCCACUGUGGGAGUUGAUGUCUGUGUGGUGUGGUUUUUAUAUAUGCUGGUGGAAAAGCCAAACUUUGCCCUUGCAGUGAAAUCUGUGAGGUUUUAUGAAAAAUACGGCAAGACAACUAUGGUCCUGUCACCCGUACCAGAGCCUGGAGGGCCAAUUUGUCCUAAGAUCACCCUAUCAGUCCCCCAUCUUUCUUCCUCCAAAAGGAACAGAAGCUUGUCACCCAAGGGCUGUCCCUACCAUUCCCUUCCCAUACAGCGUAUGCUCCAGUUCCUCAUCCUUUGAGUGGUAAAGCUAAACUUUGUCUAUGCAGCUGGGAAAUGUCAAGCUUAGCCCAGACAUGUGCCUGUCCAGUGCCCACGCAGAACGCAACACUUGGAAAGCCCCGAGACUGAAGCCCUUGGUUCAGACUCAUCCACCUGGGUUUGCUCUCCAUCAAUCCUCUUCAUGCCGCGUGUGGAUAUUAUGGUUAAUCUGAAGGAUUCACAGCCCUGGCCUGAAGGACUUUACCAUCAACAAGAUGCCCUUUAUGAAACGAUUUCUGCCAGGAUCUUUUAAUGAGAAGUAUUUUACCAUGUUUUAUCUCGGUUGGAUGUCUUGGUGGGACUGGCGGGAGGUUUGCUCCAGCGGGGCCAGCGUCUCGCCCAUGAGCCAAAGGCUCUCAGAAGUGGCUUUGGCUUUUCUCAAAUUAGGCUGCUUGUGACUCACAAACUUGUGCCUUGCUUUCAGAUGAGAGAGAGAGAUAGAGGAAAGAUGAGUAAAUAGGCAGACUGGUACAGGUUUCAUCCCAGGCUCUGCAAAUUUCUUUAGCUAAAUCAGAGAUGUUGCUAGUGAGCUUUUGACACGCAAUUCCUGCCUGCUCCUGUUAACCCUUCACUGGGAGCAGAAUAUGAGGGCGUUUAAUUUCCUUGCCAGGACCAAAGCACAGUGCUGGGAAGGUAAAAUGACCCCUCCUGCGUGUGUGCCGUGGGGGCCUGGCAAGCAGCCCGACCAUGCGAUGUGUACAGGGCUCCAUCACAGCUCUCCGAGUAUCUGGGGACCUCUGGGUCUGUCUAGAAACCCUUCACCAAAAUCUGUAUCAUUUCCCACCAACCUUCCCAUAUGCCUGAGAUCUGGAGGAGGAAACUCUCCGUACAGUGAGCAGCCACAGGGAGGGCUAAGAAAGGAACCAGCAACAAGAAGUUGGGUAAAACUAUCUCAUGUCCCCUUCGUGCUGGGUACCUGCUUCACAAAUGGUGGGUGAUACGCUCCCAGGAAAUUAUUUCUGGAUAUGCAUAAACCUAAAGGGGAAUUGCUGUAUUCCUGCUGGCAGCAAGAGAGCUGAGAGUACAGUUACAUGCCUGGUUGCAACACUUGAAUUAUUAGAAACUUUAAUUUCAGUGAAUGUAUUUAGAAAUAAAAGCUGUAUUUGCCAGUGAGGCUUCUGAUACGAUGACAAGAGAAGCUCCUAAGAUAUCUGUGGGGUUUUCACCUUUGGAAUUGGUUUACCUGGUGUUAAUGAAAACCUAGGCAUAUAUUUAUAAGUUCCCCCUCUGCUAGUUGGAAUUGCUUUCCACAGAGCCCAAGUCCUGGGGAAGGGCUUGGAGUCCUGAAUACAGUAUUUCCCUGUUUCAGAGUUGGACCUGUGUACCCUAAGCACGUGCGUAUACCCUCACACAAACUAACACACCCUUUCUUGUUUAUUUGGUUCAGCCUCUUGUGAAAUAUUUAUACCAGAUUCUGUGCUUUUUCAGCCCAAUUGCUCUGAAUAUAAUUACCCAAUCUUGAUAAAACUGUUUAAAUGCGAUUAGCCAAUGUAAUUGUCCAAUGAUAGAGUUGGUCCAAAAAUUAAAAGCGGCGGGAAGAAAAAGAGGGGAGGAAAAAAAAGAAAAUGGAGGCAUUUGCGUCAGACAUUUUUAAAUCAUUUUUCUAUUUGACAGUAUGGAGGGAACAGCCCUCUGAAUCUAGAAAAAGAUUGGUUUCAAAGUGGAAAAAAACCAACCCUGCCUUAUCAUCAGAAUUCAUUCCUUGAAAACAGUUUUGUCUGAAAAUGCUGAACUAGGAAAGAUUUUUUUUGCCGUUUUCCCUGUGGUCCUCUUUAGCCGCCUGGAGGCACAUGAGAGAUGGUAUCACGUUGUUCCACGUAAGUGGGAUCAACAGUGGUCAAUGUCCCGUGAAGAAAAAUGUGUCCAGAACCUGCUGGAUCUGGCUGGUGAUGCUCUCCCGUGAAAGACACUAACCCCUAAGCGAUUUUCUUGUGUUCCUGGGGGAAUCGUUUGGGGAUGAAGUGGGAACCUUGCUCUGGGUCUGCAAGCAAAUGCUGUGUCGUGCACAGCAGCAUCUCUAAGGUUUGCAACCUCCUUCACCCAAAAUAAUCCUUCCAAGAGCAUCCUACGGUCACUGCCUCGGCCUUCACUGAGAGCCCUUGAGGUCAAGGGCUACUGACCAGCUCGCUCCCUUUCUUUGUCAAUUCUUCAUCAUUUUCUGCACCAUGUGAAGAGGCACAUUAAACCUUCAGACACCAAAUCAACAUAAUUCUUCUAGCUCAGUAAUGGAGGUUAUAAGCCAGCUGAACAAGUUGAGGCUUACUUCUAUGCAUUCACUUUUCAUUCUUCAUUUGACUAAUUAAGCAAGAAACCUGGCUUGUAAAUUAAGAUGAUUAAACCAAAUGAAGCAGUGUAGAGUACACCCUUAAAUGUGCAGAUCAUAGGUCACUCCAUCUGUACUUGUUUGCUUAGCCCACUCCGGACAAAGUCCCAGCAGAUUUUGAGCAUUUAAUUGUCAACUCUUCAUUUUUUCCAGUUCACUGCUUGCAAAGCCCACAGAUUGUGCAGACGUUGAGAGACAAAGGGCCAAAUCCUGCCCCAUCCUGCCCCACAGGGAAUGAACUGAAUCAACAAGACAGACGAGCGUGCUGCCGAGGGUGGGAUAUGGCUGUGCCCGGCUGCUUGCGCCGUAGUUUGGAUUGAGCAGAAGUAGGAGGAGGUGGUGUUUUUCCACGGAGGAACUUCCUACCUUGCAAGACCCACCAUAGUGACCUCCUGUCCCUAUCAGCUUCGCCUUCUCAGCUCAGGCUGGAUCUUGUGAUUUGCCCUGAAGCCGCUCUCUGGCUGUUUCCAGCUGGGAGCAAGGGGCGGCCACGCUCAUGAGGCUCAUGGCAGGAGUUCAUCCUUGUGCAGGCCCUGGGGUACCCUGGCUGCACCCUUUUUUUCUUCUCAGCACCAGGUCAUUAGGGGACCGAGUAGCACCCAGUCACCAUUUGCAUAAAUGCGCUGCAGCAGUAGACGUAUCUGAGCUCUUCCUGGUCCCCUGGAAGAGAACAGAUAAACACUUCAGUCAUUUAAUUUGGGGGAGGGAAACUAGGGAGAUCAAAGUGACCUGCACUCCUGUCCUGGCCAGGCUGGGGUGAAAAUGCCACGAGGCUUUUGCACGCAGAGGCCUGACUGUUUUUUCAGCUGGGCCCAGCUGAACUUCUCCUUUCUUGCCUCUUUAGGAGCUGUGGCCCCUGCACAGGUAAGUCAGGAUUCGGGAUGGAUGCAGGGAAGGGCAAACCUACAAACACCAGUAUUUUUCUGUGCCCCAAAGGCAUAGGUGAGACAGUACAUCUGCUGGCUUGAAGUAGAUAUUGUUACUGGAAUUUGGGAUUCCUUUCGGAUUAAGCAUCAUGCAGUGCUCACAAGGCUCCACUUAGCCAACAUGUCUGAGCUCUGCCUGAAAAUCUGAUUUCCCUGUCAUUACUUCUAAAACUGUGUUUGCCUCUCCUUUCUUUUUUGAUUCUUUUCAUCCUGGCCAGUUGCAACAUGCGCCUCCCUGUUAUGUUCUUCAGAUGUACUGCUGUGUUUUUACUUGAACUAAGUAAUUCUCUGUGCUCUUUUCUCCCCCUUUUCCAGCAUUGACCCUUUCCCCAAAUUCCUGGUGUUGGCAGUUUGUUUUCUAUGGUUUUUCUUCAGCUGAACUUGGUUAUUGAAUGUUCUUUUUUCUUUCCAGAGAGACUCCUGGUCCAGCCGCUGGGCUGUUUUUCCAACACAUUAAGUGUUUCCAUGUCUUUCCUUUCCUCCACUCCGAGAAGAUUUAGUUUUAUACUUUUAAAAUGCAUCAAUAACCUUUUACAUCUCUAUUUCUGGCCUAUUUUCUAAGGACACAAUGUGUAUUUAAUGGUGGUAUGCAUGGGCAUAUGUAUCUCUACCACUCGAUUCCCUCAUAACUUGAACCUAUUGACCAAAUUUAAUGAAGGUGGAUGGAGAGUUAGGGGCCUCGAAGACUUCAGGUUCUAGAAAGUCGUGUGAUUAUGUCUGAGUGAGCAAACAAGGAAGAUGCCCUGUGUUCCCUAACCAAAGGGCAGAAUAGAUACUGUGGUUCUGGGGGGAAAAGCUCAAAAAUAUGACUCAAAGGCAAAUAAAGAACAUGCACUUAUUUUUAUUUUAGACCCCGUGCUUUUUAAACCAUAAAGUCUAGUGAUUUUGGAGGGACCAGACUCAUGACUUUUAAACCCUUGGAUAUGAAAGCAGAGAUGUUGGUGUGUCUUUACAGCCAAGAGUAGUCACCCUCACAAUCCCACAAGAGUACCACCUUGCCUCCUCCUUCAUGCUGCUUCCCUGGCAAGCUGUUCCUAGAGGCAGGAAAGCAACGCUCCCAGCCCGGAGCUAUGCUAUUGCCUUUGAAUAUAUGGUGCAGGUCCAGGGAGGGGACAGCAUGGGACAAAGCAGAUCAAAGAGCUUGGGAAAGUCACUUUACCUCCCCAUGCCGCCACUUCUCUUCUCAGCCCGCAGAAACCCUUCGUGUUAGGACAUUUCCCUGCUGUGUCUGUACAGCACCUACCACUACUGGGCUCCCACCAGGUUGUGCCCUGAAGGCAGGGACUGUAUCAGGCCCUAAAAGUUAAUAGUUAUGGGCACAGCAAUUUAAGUCAAGAGCCAUGGGAUCAGCAUCACUGCAGAGAGCCUGGCUUGUACAAGGCAUUUUUCGGGGGCUUUGCAGAGAGCCUGGCUUGUACAAGGCAUUUUUCGGGGGCUUUGUUCCUUGGAUGGGUGCCCCUUGGCUAGGGUUUGUCUCACAGGCACUCUUCCCAAACAGCUCCAAGGAGAUAAAAAGCUGAGGUGGGAAAAGGAAAGAAAUGGAAGAGCAGGCAGGAAAGGAAGACAGAAACUGGGAGACAGAAAGCAGGAGACAGCUCUCUCGUCUGUCAGUACAGCGAGCUGCUUACUCAGGGCAAAAUAUUCCAAUUUGAAGGCAGAAAAGCCUUCCUAGCCCCAGCCUCCUGCAUGCACAGACCCCACACAAGCAGCCAGCAUGGAGAAGGUCGGCGUUGCUCCCCGCUGAGGAGCACAGCUGAAAACAGCCACAUUUGCUUCCUUUAGGAGUUCCAGUCACUCCCCUUACGGCCUGAUAAUUCAAGGAGAGCUUCUCCAGGGUGUGCAUUUGCCUUCCUUCCUAACUGUAUUUGGUCACGAUAUAGGUGUUUUACCUACAGUUCCCACAUGAAGAAAUCCCUGUAGCUGUAACCCAGCUUCUCUCUCCCUGCAGACAGCUAUUUACAGGAUUUCAAUGGGUAGGUCUGAAAUGAUUCCAUGUCCAGAAUCGCCACUGCCAAAGGAAGGAGAUGGGGGUCUUUGCAAAGGGCUUUAAUAAUCUUCCUGUUGCUCUGGCUGGCAGCUUUCGGCAUGUGUCCCACAUUCUUCAGUAGCCCUUUCCUUAGCAAUGAAUAGCCUUUUAGCGCACUCUCAUAAUGGUUUCUUUUCCUGUGCCACUCAGAAAAAGCUUUCAGCCUGCUCCAGCUGCUGCCUCUGCUGCCUUUCCUUACCCACCAGAAAGAUGCGGUGGCUCUGCUCAGCAUAUCCACUGCCUCUAAUAGAGCCACUCUUUCACCCCUGAAAAGAGGUGGCGUGUGAGCAAGGGGCGGAGCGUGGCUUUGCCUCUGUUUAUUUUUCUUCAAGCUCCUUUGCAAGCUGAAGGGGGUUACAAGGCUGAGUUAGGACCUCUUCACCCCCCCGCCCAAGAAGCACACGUGCCCCGUGGGUCAGCAGCCCUGACGCAGGAUCGGGGGGCUUCAGCCUGGGGCUGCCGCCCUGCCCCAUGGCCGCACCAUGCCAGAGUCUGAACUUGCACUCCCCGAUGCAGGAGGUCUUGGCUCUGAUUUAAGGCAGGUGGAAAGUGCAUCCUCCUCCCGCCUUGUUUUCCUUGUCUUAAUUCCCAGCAGGGCUGUUACUCCAAAACCUGCGGUGACAGGGCUCUUACACAGCCACAGUAGUGUGUAAUCUACUCUGUGCAAGCCUGUUGUUUGGUUGGUUGGUUGUUUUUUUUUUUAUUUUUUUUUUCCUCCUGGAUUUGAUAAUGGUGCUACUUAAUUAAGGAUCCAAAAUUGCUUUAGUUCAGGCUAAUAAAAGGGCCUUUGGAGCUCCCAGCAGUUACCUCAGAUACCUACAUUAGCAGGUACCCUAGACAGCUUUGAAAAUUGUGCAAUAGAUAAUAAGCUCAGAUUCUCAAAGGCUUUGAGAUCAAUGAGAAUUACAACCCCUAGAAUAAACACUAGGUACUUAUGUACUUUUCUAGGCCUGGCUAAGAAAUUCAUCUGAAACUGUGGAUUUCAGCAGCAAAAAGCUAAUUUUCCAUGAUGCAAACGUGAUGGGAGGAAAGGGAUGCAGCAAGCUGCUGUGAAUUCUGAAGAAUUUUAGGUUAUUUUCAGACUAACCUGCAGUCUCAUUACAUGAGUUUCUGUGUUUCCUGUUUCUCUUAACUUUGAUUUGUUAUUUCGCUGCCCAGGAAAGUACUGAGUAUUUAUUUACCAUUUUUGUUACGUAUACAUGCCUCUCCCACAUUUCCCCAUAUUCCUAGAUAUCUUUUCAGGUUUAAAGAAAAAAUCUGCAUCCCUCUUUCUCCGAUAUUAGGACAACUACUUUGUGAUUCACACAGAGAGUUGGGACAACAGUAGACACAAGGGAGGAGGGCUCUAUGCUGACCACUGAUGUAAACAUUGUUUUGGAUACCCCUGGUGAUGAAGGAAAGCUGUUACACUAACACA